rnacentral:rRNA from 1 species
UACAGAGGCCUCGAGCGUUAGGCGGAAUCACUGGGCGUAAAGGGUGCGUAGGCGGUCGGGUAAGUCUGAUGUGAAAUCUCACAGCUUAACUGUGAAACUGCAUUGGAUACUAUCCGGCUAGAGGAAUGGAGGGGAGACUGGAAUACUUGGUGUAGCAGUGAAAUGCGUAGAUAUCAAGUGGAACACCAGUGGCGAAGGCGAGUCUCUGGACAUUUCCUGACGCUGAGGCACGAAAGCCAGGGGAGCAAACGGG